GCCUUCGUAGCUCAGUGGAUUAGAGCGCUUGCUUGCGGAGCAAUAGGUCACAGGUUCGAGUCCUGUCGAGGGCA
rnacentral:tRNA from 1 species